rnacentral:rRNA from 1 species
AGAGUUUGAUCCUGGCUCAGGACGAACGCUGGCGGCGUGCCUAAUACAUGCAAGUCGAGCGAAUCGAUGGGAGCUUGCUCCCUGAGAUUAGCGGCGGACGGGUGAGUAACACGUGGGCAACCUGCCUAUAAGACUGGGAUAACUUCGGGAAACCGGAGCUAAUACCGGAUACGUUCUUUUCUCGCAUGAGAGAAGAUGGAAAGACGGUUUACGCUGUCACUUAUAGAUGGGCCCGCGGCGCAUUAGCUAGUUGGUGAGGUAAUGGCUCACCAAGGCGACGAUGCGUAGCCGACCUGAGAGGGUGAUCGGCCACACUGGGACUGAGACACGGCCCAGACUCCUACGGGAGGCAGCAGUAGGGAAUCUUCCGCAAUGGACGAAAGUCUGACGGAGCAACGCCGCGUGAACGAAGAAGGCCUUCGGGUCGUAAAGUUCUGUUGUUAGGGAAGAACAAGUACCAGAGUAACUGCUGGUACCU